rnacentral:rRNA from 1 species
UUACCAGACUCCUACGGGAGGCAGCAGUGAGGAAUAUUGGUCAAUGGACGAGAGUCUGAACCAGCCAAGUAGCGUGAAGGAUGACUGCCCUAUGGGUUGUAAACUUCUUUUAUAUGGGAAUAAAACGUUCCACGUGUGGGAUUUUGUAUGUACCAUAUGAAUAAGGAUCGGCUAACUCCGUGCCAGCAGCCGCGGUAAUACGGAGGAUCCGAGCGUUAUCCGGAUUUAUUGGGUUUAAAGGGAGCGUAGGUGGCAUAAUAAGUAGCUAGUGAAAUCUGGUGGCUCAACCAUUCAGACUAUUAGCUAAACUGUUAAGCUCGAGACCGUUAGGGGUAACUGGAAUUUCUAGUGUAGGGUUGAAAUCCGUAGAUAUUAGAAGGAACACCAAUAGCGUAGGCAGGUUACUGGGACGGUUCUGACACUAAGGCACGAAAGCGUAGGGAGCAAACGGGAUUAGAUACCCGCGUA